rnacentral:rRNA from 1 species
ACUGCGAGACGGACAGGUCGAGCAGGGACGAAAGUCGGGCUUAGUGAUCCGGUGGUUCCGCAUGGAAGGGCCAUCGCUCAACGGAUAAAAGCUACCCCGGGGAUAACAGGCUGAUCUCCCCCAAGAGUCCACAUCGACGGGGAGGUUUGGCACCUCGAUGUCGGCUCAUCGCAUCCUGGGGCUGUAGUCGGUCCCAAGGGUUGGGCUGUUCGCCCAUUAAAGCGGUACGCGAGCUGGGUUCAGAACGUCGUGAGACAGUUCGGUCCCUAUCCGUCGCGGGCGCAGGAAAUUUGAGAGGAGCUGUCCUUAGUACGAGAGGACCGGGAUGGACGCACCGCUGGUGUACCAGUUGUCCCGCCAGGGGCACCGCUGGGUAGCUAUGUGCGGACGGGAUAAGCGCUGAAAGCAUCUAAGCGUGAAGCCCCCCUCAAGAUGAGAUUUCCCACCGCGUCAGGCGGGUAAGAUCCCUCGAAGAUGACGAGGUCGAUAGGUCCGAGGUGGAAGCGUGGCGACACGUGGAGCUGACGGAUACUAAUCGAUCGAGGGCUUAACCAAGAA